rnacentral:rRNA from 1 species
CCUACGGGAGGCAGCAGUGGGGAAUAUUGCACAAUGGGCGGAAGCCUGAUGCAGCAACGCCGCGUGCGGGAUGACGGCCUUCGGGUUGUAAACCGCUUUCGCCUGUGACGAAGCGUGAGUGACGGUAAUGGGUAAAGAAGCACCGGCUAACUACGU